rnacentral:lncRNA from 1 species
ACUCAGCAGUGAGGUUGCUGGAUCAUAUGGUACAUCUAUUUUUAGUUUUUUGAGGAAACUCCAUGCUUUUACUCAUAGUGGCUGUACUAAUUGCCAUUCCCACCAGCAGUGAACUAGUAUUCCCCUUUCUCCACAUCCUCACCAGUACCUGUUAUUGUUUGUCUUUUUGAUAAUAGCAGUUUUAACAGGGAUGAGAUGAUAUCUCAAUGUGAUUUUGAUUUGCAUUUCCCUGAUGAUUAGUGAUGUUGAACAUUUUUUCGUAAAUGUUUGUUGGUCAUUUGUAUGUCUUCUUUUGAGAAAUGUCUAUUUAGAUCAUUUGCCCAUUUUAAAAUAAGAUGAUGAUGAUGAUUGUUAUUAUUAUUUUGCUAUUGAGUUUGAACUCCUUAUGUAUUCUGUUUAUUAAUACUUUAUCACAUAGACAGCUUGCAAAUAGUUUCUCCCAUUAUGUAGGUUGUCUCUGCAUUCUGUCGAUUAUUUCCUUUGCUGUGCAAAAGCUUUUCAGCUUGAUGUAUUUCCAUUUGUCUAUUUUUGCUUUUGUUGCCUGUGCUUUUGCAGUCUUACCCAAAAUAUCUGCCUAGACCAAUGUUCUAAAGUGUUUCACCAAUGUUUUCUUCUGUAGUUUCAUAGUUUCAGGUCUUACAUUUAAUUCUUUAAUCCACUUUAAUUUAAUUUUUGAAUACGGUGAGAAAUAGAGGUCUAGUUUUAUUCUUCUGCAUAUGGAUAUUCAAUUUUCCUAGAACUAUUUAUUGAUGAGCCUGUUCUUUCCCCAUUGAAUGUUCUUGGUUACUUGUCAAAAAUCAGUUGGCAGUAAAUAUGUGGAUUUAUUUCUGGGUUCUCUAUUCUGUUCCAUUGUGCCUAUGUGUCCGUUUUUAUGCCAGGUCCAAGCUGUUUUGGUUACUGUAGCUUUGUAGUACAUAUUAGAGUCAGCUCAUGUGAUGCCUCCAGCUUUGUUAUUUUUGCUCAGGAUUUCUUUGGCUAUUUGGGGUCUUCUGUGGUUCCAUAUGAAUUUUAGAAUUUUUUUUUCUAGGCUGGGUGCAGUGGCUCAUGCCUGUAAUCCCAGCACUUUGGGAGGUCAAGGCGGGUGGAUCAUUUGAGGUCAGGAGUUCAAGACCAGCCUGGCCAACAUGGUGAAACCCUGUUUCUACUAAAAAUACAAGAAAAAAAAAAAGGGCUGGGUGCGGUAGCUCACGCCUGUAAUCCCAGUACUUUGGGAGGCCAAGGCAGGUGGAUCACCUGAGGACAGAAGUUCGAGACCAGCCUGGCCAACACGGUGAAACUCCGUCUCUACUAUAAAUACAAAAAUUAGCUGAAUGUGGUGGCAGGUGCCUGUAAUCCCAGUUACUUGGGAGGCUGAGGCAGGAGAAUCGCUUGAACCUGGGAGGCAGAGGUUGCAGUGAGCCAAGAUCACACCAUUGCACUCCAGCCUGGGCAACAAGAGUGAAACUCCGUCUCAAAACAAAAGCAAAAAUAAUUAGCUGGGCAUGAUGGUGCACGCCUGUAAUCCCAGCUACUGGGGAGGCUGAGGCAGGAGAAUCACUUGAACCCAGGAGAUGGAGGUCGCAGUGAGCUGAGAUCAUGCCACUGCACUCCAGCCUGGGAAACAGAGCGAGACUCUGUCUCAAAAAAAAAAAAAAAAAAAAAAAAAAAAAAGAAUUGUUUUUCUAAAGAAUGUCAUUGAUAUUUUGAUACAGAUUGCAUUGAAUCUAUAGAUUGCUUUUGGGAGUACAAUUUUUUUUACAAUAUUCUUCCCAUUCAUAGACAUAGGAUAUAUUUCCAUUUUUUGGUGACAUCUUCAAUUUCUUUCAUCAGUGUUUUAUGGUUUUUCCUUGCAGCGAUCUUUCACCUCUUUGGUUAAAUUUAUUUAUGGGUGUGUUUUUAAAAGUAGCUAUUGUAAAAGGGAUUGCUUCCUUGAUUUUUUUUUUUAUGCUAGUUCAUUGCUGGUAUAUAGAAACACUACUGAUUUUUAUAUGCUAAUUUUGUAUCGUGAAACUUUAUUGAAUUUAUCAGCUCUAAGAGUGUCUUGGUGGAGCUUGUUAGGGUUUUCUAUAUAUGAGAUCAUGUUAUCUGCAAACAGGGACAAUUUGGCUUCCUCUUUUUCAAUUUGGAUGCUCUUUAUUCCUUUCUGUUGCCUAAUUGCUCUGGCUAGGACUUCCAGUACUAUGUUGAAUAAGAGUGGUAAGAGUGGUCAUCCUUGUCUUGUUCUGGUUCUUAGAGAAAAGCUUUCAGUUUUUCCCCAAUCAGUGUAUUGUUAAAUAUGGGUUUGUCUUAUAUGGCCUUUAGAGUGUUGAGGUAUGCUUUUUUUAUAUCUAGCUUGUUUAGGGUUUUUAUCAUGAAACGUUGUUGAAUGUUAUC